rnacentral:rRNA from 1 species
UACGAAGGGGGCUAGCGUUGCUCGGAAUCACUGGGCGUAAAGCGCACGUAGGCGGCUUUUUAAGUCAGGGGUGAAAUCCUGGAGCUUAACUCCAGAACUGCCUUUGAUACUGGAGAGCUUAGAGUCCGGGAAGAGGUAGUGGAACUGCGAGUGUAGAGGUGAAAUUCGUAGAUAUUCGCAAGAACACCAGUGGCGAAGGCGGCUCACUGGUCCGUACUGACGCUGAGGUGCGAAAGCGUGGGGAGCAAACAGG